AUUCCCUUAAGUGUUGCCGCUAUGACUUAAAUAGUUGAAGUGGAGUCAAACGAGGGAUAAAGAGAAAUGGGGUAUUCAAGAUAUACUCUCCUAAUAUCAUGGAGAACUAUAUAGCUAUACCUGAAUAAUU
rfam:Tetrahymena thermophila SB210 genomic scaffold scf_8254602, whole genome shotgun sequence.